UACGUAGGGUGCGAGCGUUAAUCGGAAUUACUGGGCGUAAAGCGUGCGCAGGCGGUUCGCUAAGACAGAUGUGAAAGCCCCGGGCUUAACCUGGGAAUUGCGUUUGUGACUGGCGGGCUAGAGUGCGGCAGAGGGAGGUGGAAUUCCACGUGUAGCAGUGAAAUGCGUAGAGAUGUGGAGGAACACCGAUGGCGAAGGCAGCCUCCUGGGCCAGCACUGACGCUCAGGCACGAAAGCGUGGGAGCAACAGG
rnacentral:rRNA from 1 species